GCUGACCCAGCAUAGACGACUGACUGUUCAAGGAACUGAAGCAGUGGACAGCUUGCUGUGAAAGAUGGGAGCAUUGUUCCUCUGGUCUGGACAAGCCCAUAUUAAGUGGGAGAUGUUCAAUAUCAACUCGAUGAGAGGCAGCAAAUGUGGAAAUGGACGCAAGUCAAGGACAGCUGCAGACAGCAUAAUAACGAAACUGAUACAACGAUUGCGCUGAAUCACCGAAGAUAUGAGCCAGAGUGCGAACAGUAUACUCGUACAGUUUGGCAGAAUAAACCCCAUCUUUAUGCGUUCAGAGCAGCUGGAUGUUCACUGUUUACUUGGCAAGAAGUAGUAUGUAUGCAUGCUUCCUGCCACAGCUAUGUGCUGUCCCACACUUUGUGAGAAACACUGAAUUCUUCAUUUGCUGAGAAAUAUAUAUGCCAAAUAGUGCAUUUUGUUGCUUUGCAGUCACCAAUGCACACAAGUUGACCCCACACUGUACUUAAAAAGUUGUAAUAAUGGGUGUUUUGUGGUGAAGAAAGUUGUGGUGCUUUACAUGCAGCUACCGCAGUGAUUAUUA